GGCGGCAGGCCUAACACAUGCAAGUCGAACGGAGUUAUAUUGUAGCUUGCUAUGGUAUAACUUAGUGGCAGACGGGUGAGUAAUGUAUAGGAAUCUACCUAGUAGUACGGAAUAAUUGUUGGAAACGGCAACUAAUACCGUAUACGCCCUACGGGGGAAAAAUUUAUUGCUAUUAGAUGAGCCUAUAUUAGAUUAGCUAGUUGGUGGAGUAAUAGCCUACCAAGGCAAUGAUCUAUAGCUGAUCUGAGAGGAUGAUCAGCCAUACUGGGACUGAGAUACGGUCCAGACUCCUACGGGAGGCAGCAGUGGGGAAUAUUGGACAAUGGGCGAAAGCCUGAUCCAGCCAUGCCGCAUGAGUGAAGAAGGCCUUUGGGUUGUAAAGCUCUUUUAGUGAGGAAGAUAAUGACGGUACUCACAGAAGAAGUCCUGGCUAACUCCGUGCCAGCAGCCGCGGUAAUACGGAGAGGGCUAGCGUUAUUCGGAAUUACUGGGCGUAAAGGGCGCGUAGGCUGGUUAGUAAGUUAAAAGUGAAAUCCCGAGGCUUAACCUUGGAAUUGCUUUUAAAACUGCUAACCUAGAGAUUGAAAGAGGAUAGAGGAAUUCCUAGUGUAGAGGUGAAAUUCGUAAAUAUUAGGAGGAACACCAGUGGCGAAGGCGUCUAUCUGGUUCAAAUCUGACGCUGAGGCGCGAAGGCGUGGGGAGCAAACAGGAUUAGAUACCCUGGUAGUCCACGCUGUAAACGAUGAAUGUUAAAUAUGGGGAGUUUACUUUCUGUAUUACAGCUAACGCGUUAAACAUUCCGCCUGGGGACUACGGUCGCAAGAUUAAAACUCAAAGGAAUUGACGGGGACCCGCACUAGCGGUGGAGCAUGUGGUUUAAUUCGAUGCAACGCGAAAAACCUUACCACUCCUUGACA
rnacentral:rRNA from 1 species